AGCGGCGAGCGAACGGGGAGGAGCCCAGAGCCUGAAUCAGUGUGUGUGUUAGUGGAAGCGUCUGGAAAGGCGCGCGAUACAGGGUGACAGCCCCGUACACAAAAAUGCACAUACUGUGAGCUCGAUGAGUAGGGCGGGACACGUGGUAUCCUGUCUGAAUAUGGGGGGACCAUCCUCCAAGGCUAAAUACUCCUGACUGACCGAUAGUGAACCAGUACCGUGAGGGAAAGGCGAAAAGAACCCCGGCGAGGGGAGUGAAAAAGAACC
rnacentral:rRNA from 1 species